rnacentral:rRNA from 1 species
AAUGAACGCUGGCGGCAGGCUUAACACAUGCAAGUCGAACGCCCCGCAAGGGGAGUGGCAGACGGGUGAGUAACGCGUGGGAAUCUACCCAGUUCUACGGAACAACUGAGGGAAACUUCAGCUAAUACCGUAUACGCCCUACGGGGGAAAGAUUUAUCGGAAUUGGAUGAGCCCGCGUUGGAUUAGCUAGUUGGUGAGGUAACGGCUCACCAAGGCGACGAUCCAUAGCUGGUCUGAGAGGAUGAUCGGCCACACUGGGACUGAGACACGGCCCAGACUCCUACGGGAGGCAGCAGUGGGGAAUAUUGGACAAUGGGCGCAAGCCUGAUCCAGCCAUGCCGCGUGAGUGAUGAAGGCCUUAGGGUUGUAAAGCUCUUUCAGUGGGGACGAUAAUGACGGUACCCACAGAAGAAGCCCCGGCUAACUUCGUGCCAGCCGCCGCCGUAAGAC